rnacentral:rRNA from 1 species
CCUACGGGUGGCUGCAGUGAGGAAUAUUGGUCAAUGGACGCAAGUCUGAACCAGCCAUGCCGCGUGCAGGAAGACUGCUCUAUGAGUUGUAAACUGCUUUUAUACGGGAGUAAACGCAGGUACGUGUAUCUGUUUGUAAGUACUGUACGAAUAAGGAUCGGCUAACUCCGUGCCAGCAGCCGCGGUAAUACGGAGGAUACGAGCGUUAUCCGGAUUUAUUGGGGUUAAAGGGUGCGUAGGUGGGCUGAUAAGUUAGUUGUGAAAGUCCGAGGCUCAACUGUGGAAUUGCAUCUGAAACUGUUCGGCUAGAGGAUAGUAGCGGUAGGCGGAAUGUGUGGUGUAGCGGUGAAAUGCUUAGAGAUCAUAAAGAACACCGAUUGCGAAGGCAGCUCACUGAGCUACUACUGACGCUGAGGCACGAAAGCGUGGGGAGCAAACAGGAUUAGAUACCCGUGUAGUC